rnacentral:rRNA from 1 species
GAUGAACGCUGGCGGCGUGCCUAAUACAUGCAAGUCGAGCGCAGGGACGAGAAGCUUGCUCCUGUGAGAUUAGCGGCGGACGGGUGAGUAAUACGUGGAUAACCUGCCUUUGAGACUGGGAUAACUUCGGGAAACCGUAGCUAAUACCGGAUAAUAUUUUUAACCGCAUGGUUCAAAAGGGAAAGACGGUCUUGCUGUUACUUAUAGAUGGAUCCGAGCUGCAUUAGCUAGUUGGUAAGGUAACGGCUUACCAAGGCAGCGAUGCAUAGCCGACCUGAGAGACGGGUAGGCCACCCUGGAACGGGACCACCGUCCAGAGGCCUGAGAGAGGGAGCAGACGGGAACGUGCGGCAGUGGGCGAGAGCCUGACGGAACGGGCCGAAGUGUGUGAUGAAGACCUUCGGUGCGUAAUACCGGGUUAUGAGUGAAGAACAUAUGUGUAAGCAGCAGUAGAGAACUUGACGGUACGUGAACAGGAAGCCCCGGCUAACUACGUG